GUUGAACGCUGGCGGCGUGCCUAAUACAUGCAAGUCGAGCGAACGGACGAGAAGCUUGCUUCUCUGAUGUUAGCGGCGGACGGGUGAGUAACACGUGGAUAACCUACCUAUAAGACUGGGAUAACUUCGGGAAACCGGAGCUAAUACCGGAUAAUAUUUUGAACCGCAUGGUUCAAAAGUGAAAGACGGUCUUGCUGUCACUUAUAGAUGGAUCCGCGCUGCAUUAGCUAGUUGGUAAGGUAACGGCUUACCAAGGCAACGAUGCAUAGCCGACCUGAGAGGGUGAUCGGCCACACUGGAACUGAGACACGGUCCAGACUCCUACGGGAGGCAGCAGUAGGGAAUCUUCCGCAAUGGGCGAAAGCCUGACGGAGCAAUGCCGCGUGAGUGAUGAAGGUCUUCGGAUCGUAAAACUCUGUUAUUAGGGAAGAACAUAUGUGUAAGUAACUGUGCACAUCUUGACGGUACCUAAUCAGAAAGCCACGGCUAACUACGUG
rnacentral:rRNA from 1 species